UCCCCAAUUUUUUUGUCACAUAAAAAAAAUAUUUCCAUACCCUAAUCAAAGAGAUUUAUAUUUUAUUUUGAAUUAAAUUCAAAUAAAAAAAAAUUGAAUGAAAAAGACUUUCAGAUAAGGCAGGGCGCCAACUAUUGGUGCCCCCUCUCCUUUCACAUGCGUGAAGAAAGAAGGAUGAGAAAAAUAAUAUCUCACUUCUUCUUUUGGUAUGAUUUUUGGAGAGAGA
rnacentral:lncRNA from 1 species